GAUGAAGAACGCAGUGAAAUGCGAUAAGUAAUGUGAAUUGCAGAAUUCAGUGAAUCAUCGAAUCUUUGAACGCACCUUGCGCCCUUUGGCUAUUCCGAAGGGCAUGCCUGUUUGAGUAUCAUGAACACCUCAACUCUCAUGGUUCGCCAUGAUGAGCUUGGACUCUGGGGGUCUUGCUGGCCUAUGGUCAGCUCCUCUCAAAUAAAUCAGCUUGCCAGUGUUUGGUGGCAUCACAGGUGUGAUAACUAUCUACGCUUGUGGUUUUCCAUCAGGUAACCUUCAGUGAUGGAGGUUCGCUGGAGCUCAUAAAUGUCCCUCCUCAGCGAGGACAGCUUUUUGAACGUUUGAUCUCAAAUCAGGUAGGACUACCCGCUGAACUUAAGCAUAUCAAUAAGCGGAGGA
rnacentral:misc_RNA from 1 species